AUUGAACGCUGGCGGCAGGCCUAACACAUGCAAGUCGAGCGGAUGAAGGGAGCUUGCUCCUGGAUUCAGCGGCGGACGGGUGUGUAAUGCCUAGGAAUCUGCCUGGUUGUGGGUUAUAACGUCCUGAAACGGGCGCUAAUACCGCAUACGUCCUGAGGGAGAAAGUGGGGGAUCUUCGGACCUCACGCUAUCAGAUGUGCCUAGGUCGGAUUAGCUAGUUGGUGGGGUAAAGGCCUACCAAGGCGACGAUCCGUAACUGGUCUGAGAGGAUGAUCAGUCACACUGGAACUGAGACACGGACAAGAGGACUACGGGAGGGAGCAGUGGGGAAUAUUGGACAAUGGGCGAAAGCAUGAUACAGCCAUGCCGCGUGUGUGAAGAAGGUCUUCGGAUUGUAAAGAACUUUAAGUUGGGAGGAAGGGAAGUAAGUUAAGACCUUGCUGUAGUGACGUUAACAACAGAAUAAGCACCGGCUAACUACGUG
rnacentral:rRNA from 1 species